rnacentral:misc_RNA from 1 species
AAAAACUUUAAAUAGAGCUUCAUUUCUCGUACAAAUUCACUAAAAAUCGAAUCAAAAUCUCAAAUCUCAUCUAUUCAUACAUUAUGUCUCUCAAAGUUUACGUCGAUCGUCUUUCUCAACCUUCUCGUGCUAUUCUCAUCUUUUGCAAAUUAAAUGGAAUUGAAUUUGAAGAGGUUAAUAUUGAUCUUGCUAAAGGUCAACAUCGCACUCCUGAAUAUCAAGAAGUUAAUAUCAUGAAGCAAGUACCAGCCAUAGUUCAUGAUACUUUUAAGCUUUUCGAAAGUCAUGCGAUUCUUAGAUAUCUAGCUUCUGCAUUUCCGGAAACUGCUGAUCAUUGGUAUCCAAAAGAUCUGCAGAAAAGAGCAAAUGUAGAAUGUGUCUUGGAUUGGCACCAUGCUAACUUACGUCGUGGUUCAGCGGGAUAUGUCUUUAACACUAUACUGGCACCUGCAUUUGGAUUGCCUUUGAAUCCACAAGCUGCUGCAGAAGGUAAAAAUCUCCUUUCUGCAUCUCUUGCAACGAUUGACACCUAUUGGCUGCAGAAAGACGGAAGCUUUUUGCUUGGAAAUUCCCAACCUUCCCUUGCAGAUCUUAGCUUAGUUUGUGAGAUUAUGCAACUCCAGUUUCUUGACGAGAAGGAUCGUGAGGGUCUAUUAAGCCCGCACAAGAACGUGUUGAAGUGGAUUGACGAUGUGAAGAGUGCCACAGCACCUUAUUUCGAUGAAAUACAUGCAACUCUCUUCAAAGUUAGCGAGAUUUUUCAGAAGCAGCGAGCUGGUGGAGCAAGCAGCUAAACGUAUCCGCAAUUGAAAUCUAUUACAAUGUUGUACUCAAGGCCUGCAUUAUGACAUUUUGUGUGCUUUAAAGGAUGCAUAUUUCUUAGUUUGAUGUGUGGUAUGCUUUGUAUUCUUAUUUCUUAAGACAAUUCUGAGAAUGUUGAGUUGUACUGUACUAUCUUCUGAAUAAAAGCAGUUCUUAU